rnacentral:rRNA from 2 species
ACGGGGUGCAGCAGGCGCGAAACCUUUGCAAUGUGCGAAAGCACGACAAGGUUAAUCCGAGUGUCUCCCGCUAAGGGAGUCUUUUGUCAGUUCUAGAACCACUGGUGAAUAAGGGGUGGGCAAGUUCUGGUGUCAGCCGCCGCGGUAAAACCAGCACCUCGAGUGGUCAGGAGGUUUAUUGGGCCUAAAGCAUCCGUAGCCGGUUGCAUAAGUUUUCGGUUAAAUCUAUGCGCUUAACGUAUAGGCCGCCGAAAAUACUGUGCAGCUAGGGAGUGGGAGAGGUACACGGUACUCGAUAGGAAGGGGUAAAAUCCUUUGAUCUAUCGAUGACCACCUGUGGCGAAGGCGGUGUACCAGAACACGUUCGACGAUGAGGGAUGAAAGCUGGGGGAGCAAACCGGAUUAGAUACCCGGGUAGUCCCAGCUGUAAACGAUGCAGACUCGGUGAUGCAUUGGCUUGUGGCCAAUGCAGUGCCGCAGGGAAGCCGUUAAGUCUGCCGCCUGGGAAGUACGUACGCAAGUAUGAAACUUAAAGGAAUUGGCGGGGGAGCAC